rnacentral:lncRNA from 1 species
AGAACAGAAUGGCAAUUUUCGUGUGGUGUUAAUUUCCGUGGAAGAAGAAAAGGCUCGACUCUCUGUCCUAUUUUUCAUGAAUACUGGAAGUAGGGAAUAAACCUGGAGUCUCACGGGUGAAAAGAGACAUUUCCAUAUCACCAGACCACAAACGUGGGUGUUGAUUCUAAGGAUACCCCCAAUAAACAUCUUUCGUGCUAAAGCCCAUUCCAGAAUUUACUUCCCAGCUAUCUUUGAUGUUCAUAUUGUCAGAGGUGGUGGCCGCUGAAACAGGCAAAGACAUGGAGCAUAUCUUGGGUCCAGGACCUUGGGAGUCCAGAGGAAGGUCUUUUUACCAUCAGCAUUCUCUACUGUGUUCAAUGACUGUCAGCCAAAGAUGGCCAGGUUCUCUACUGUGAUGGUGAAUUUUAUGUGUCAAUUUGACUGGACCAUGGGAUGCCCAGGUACUUGGUGAAACAUUUCUCUGAGGAUGUCUCUGGCUUUCCUUCAGAAAGAAAUGCAUUCAAAGAACCUACAUUCACAACAUAAAGAAAUAAAGCCUGCACCUACAGAUCUACACACAUGCCCAUGCACAUGCAGGAAGUGUUCAUCUAAGACUGGACCUUUUAGAAGAAAGCUGGCAUACAUUCGUGAAGGCAUGGGCUUCCAGGCAUGUCAUCUUCACUCACGAAGCACACACAAGACCGCCAAGCAUUAAGAUUCUCCUGUGGAGCCAGGCUACAAUCCUUUAAAUGAAGACAGACAGCUAGGUGGCUGCAGCCCAGCGCUACACCUCACCCCUCCCUCAGUGUCAUGCAGAAAAAAUGUAUUCAGAACUCAGAAGUGAAGUUGUGCAAAUCCAUCAUUGACACUAGCUUCAAGGUUACCUCGGGGGAGCAGAAUGUACCCCUGCCAGAGAGCUGGAUAGAUGAUGAUGGGGACAGAAAUUCUGGGGGAGUUGUAAAUGGCAGCCACUGCCUCUAUAGGAAACCCAAAGGGAACACAGCAGAAGAGGAGGUGGUGGAGGAGCCACUGCCCUCUCGAAGGGUUCAAUGUCAUUCUGCAGACACAACCAAAUAACUUUUUCUUCCCUGCUGCUCCUCCAUUUGAAAUGACAGCCCCGAGCUCGCUUUUUCCUUGAUUGUGUAACUCUGAUUACAGACAAGGCCAAGGCAAUCCCAGGGCAUUACUACAAAGCUAAGGGGUCCCCAAAGAACUAAAGAGUCAGCUCCACAAAAAUCCCGAUUCCUAGCAUGAAACUGAAAUAUGAAACCAAACGGGCAUAGAAAAGGUAUGUGCAUUCGAAUCACAUAGCAGUGACUGGAGUCCUGAGCUGUGUCUGAAGACUGUGAGAUCACGUUUGGAGCUGCUGAUUGGUUUUCAGUGAUGGCCCUGUUGCACAGUGCCGUGAGACUUAGCUCCAUGGCCAAAGACGAUGGUAUCCCCUAGGAGCCCUGUGAGGUUGCUGCUGUUCUCUUAAGACACCAGGUAGCCAUCUGAUCCUCCCUGAGCAAACUAACUGGGCAGACAGGUUUAUUAAACCUCUGUUGGUCCGACUUACAUGAAACAAGAGAGUUAUUUUGUUGUUGUUGUUUUGUUUUGUUUUAAAUUAAACCUGUCUUUGGAGCC